GAGCAACAUCAUAGGGGCAGUGGGGAGUAGUCUUUGAGAAGGCAGUGCUUGCUGAGCUGCAUAGAAAUAAUGUUGUCUGCCGUAGAGAAGCAAAGAAUGGAGUUCACCUGUCUACGAAUGGGUUAACUUAUUCUUUUGCCAGAGCACAACAACCUGAACUGAAGUGCUUUGGAAUAAAGAGUAUUUUAGAGGCAUAAAAAGUUGUUAAUGGUGGAACUGGCUUCUGUGCAAAGCACUGCUGGUGCGAGAUGUGAGCGGACACAUAUUCAGGUUUCAGUCGUCGUGAGCCGUGCUGUCUUUGUCUCAGUACCUGCAGUGCUGGGAUCACACCAGAACUCCCAUGUUACAGUAUGGCGAUGAAAUCAUUUGCACAAUGUGCACAUUUGCUUAAGAGCACAAAAGUGAUGUGAGUUUUCUGGAGCUGUAACUUCAGCAGAACAUCAACCUCUCUCAAAAAGAAGUUGAAGAUGUGAUCAGUGUGGACUACAAGGUGUAAUCACAUUCCUGAUUACAUUUCACCCAGUACUGUGCUGACCUCAUUGCCAUGCAAGUUAACUCUUGUAUUUCAUGACCUCUCAUCAGUUCGUGCAGCCAUGUCUGAAACUGUAACAGGCUGUUGCAUUGGACACAUCUUUCA
rnacentral:lncRNA from 1 species